ensembl:snRNA U1 U1 spliceosomal RNA
AUGCUCACCUGGCAGGGGAGAUACCAUGAUCAUGAAGAUAGUUUCCCAGGGUGAGGCUUAUUGGUUGCACUUCGAAUGUACUGACCCCUGUGAUUUCCCCAAACGUGGGAAACUCAACUGCGUGAUUUGUGAUGGUGGGGACUGCAUUGGCGCUCUCCUCU